rnacentral:rRNA from 1 species
UUGGGCGUAAAGCGCGCGCAGGCGGCCUUUUAAGUCUGAUGUGAAAGCCCCCGGCUCAACCGGGGAGGGUCAUUGGAAACUGGAAGGCUUGAGUGCAGAAGAGAAGAGCGGAAUUCCACGUGUAGCGGUGAAAUGCGUAGAGAUGUGGAGGAACACCAGUGGCGAAGGCGGCUCUUUGGUCUGUAACUGACGCUGAGGCGCGAAAGCGUGGGGAGCGAACAGGAUUAGAUACCCUGGUAGUCCACGCCGUAAACGAUGAGUGCUAAGUGUUGGGGGGUUUCCGCCCCUCAGUGCUGCAGCUAACGCAUUAAGCAC